rnacentral:rRNA from 1 species
GACGAACGCUGGCGGCGUGCUUAACACAUGCAAGUCGAACGGAAAGGCCCUGCUUUUGUGGGGUGCUCGAGUGGCGAACGUGUGAGUAACACGUGAGUAACCUGCCCUUGACUUUGGGAUAACUUCAGGAAACUGGGGCUAAUACCGGAUAGGAGCUCCUGCUGCAUGGUGGGGGUUGGAAAGUUUCGGCGGUUGGGGAUGGACUCGCGGCUUAUCAGCUUGUUGGUGGGGUAGUGGCUUACCAAGGCUUUGACGGGUAGCCGGCCUGAGAGGGUGACCGGCCACAUUGGGACUGAGAUACGGCCCAGACUCCUACGGGAGGCAGCAGUGGGGAAUAUUGCACAAUGGGCGGAAGCCUGAUGAAGCAACGCCGCGUGCGGGAUGACGGCCUUCGGGUUGUAAACCGCUUUAGCCUGUGACGAAGCGUGAGUGACGGUAAUGGGUAAAGAAGCACCGGCUAACUACGUG